CGUUCGGCUACGCCCGGCCCGUUCCCAGGCUUUCCCAGAUUAAACCGUCCCAUCCCGUGGCGGCUCCCCCCGCUCGGCUUUGAAAAGCUUUCCCCUAAAUCCUCCCCCCUUCCCAAAACGAUCCCGGCGUCGCAGGUUUGCGCCCGUUCCUUCGAAUGCGGCGGGCCAAAAAAGGGGCAACGGGCCAAGCUCCGGAGUCGGCGGCUCCGAAACGGCUCCGGAUGAGCCGUGCCAAAGCCGCAAACGAGGCCAAAAGACGGCGGUUCGGAGCUGCGAGUCCGUGGGAGAAAUGCUUGGAAUAGCAGCAGCAAAGCCAAACUAAAGCUCCGAGGUCCCCGCCGGGUCACGGCGGGAGUUUUGCUGCGGCCGGGGUAGGAAAAAUAAAUCCCCAAAGCGAGCGGAAGGGCGGGAUUUGAAGGGCGUUUUUCCCUCCCGGGGCUCGUGGUUCCCUUGGAGAGGGGCAGAAAAACACAACGCGGUGGGAAAGGAGGGAAGCGCGGCUCGGGCUCCCGGCCCGCAGCGAAUCUGCCCGCAAAUAUUUGCUGGAGAGCGGGAAAAAUGUUCGAUUCCGACGGGAAAAUCCCCCUCAGCCAGACUCGAGGGUGGCCGGAGAAAUCGGGCGGCCGAUGCUGCCCGUGAGCAAAGCCGUUUUGCCCCCUUCCGCCGCUGUGCCAGGGCAGAAACCGCCAGGAAUGGCGGCGGCCAUCGGCAACACCAGGAAAAGCCAGACGGGUUGGGAAAGGGAGGAAAAACGCGGGAGAAGGGGAAUUAUCGCGGUGGAGGAGGAGGACGGGCGCAGGAAUGGCGUCAGGCUCCUGCAGCGCUCAGGCACCUCGGGCCCCGCGACUCCCGGCCCAGCCGGGGUUUUUCCAAGGCGGGAAAAGGUUCCUGGGAGCUGGCAGUGGCUGCUUUUCCGUGCUUGCCCGCUGCCGAGGCUCUCGAAGCGGCGGGGAAGCAGGGAAAGUCUCAGCGGCGUUUUCGCCCGCUUCUUUUUCGCCCUAAAAAUCCUCGCGCCCACCCGGAAGAGCGGGAGGAUACAAGCCCGUCAGCCAGCGGCAAAUCUCCGCUUUAAAUCAUCGCUUAAAACCACGAAUCCGGGAUUACACGAAAGGCGCGUUUUUCCGCAGCGAGCGGAAUUUAAAGGCAACAGGCAGAAAACAGCCCGUUCGCCGUCAAAAUUUGCUCCGGCGUCUGAGAGCGCUGGAAUUAUGAGUUUGCUAAAAAAAGAAAGAAAAAAGCCACGCGGUGAUGCGGCUAUUCCCGGAAAAGUCAUCGGAUUCCCACGCCCCCGGGGAGGGGGGAAAAAAAGGCGGAGGAGCCCGGGGCCGGUUCAGGGAGGAUGUUUUAACGAUGCUAAAGGAGAUUUAAGAAAAGCAACGAGAUCUGGGAGCAGGUUAUCGCUCCGAAACGCGAUUGCCCUCGCUGGAAAAGCGAAGCUCCGCUCGGCCUCGGCAGCGUCGAGCCCCUACGGCAGCGCCUGGAUGCGGCGCUGGGAAAUUUGGGGACGCGGUGGGAAAGCUGCAGAGUUUGGGGAGACCCCAAAAUCACAGGGAAGCUGCAGAGUCCGGGGAGACCCCAAAAUCACGGGAAAGCUGCAGAGUCCGGGGAGACCCCAAAAUCGCAGGGAAGCUGCAGAGUCCCAGAAGACCCCAAAAUCAUGGGAAAACUGCAGAGUCCGGGGAGACCCCAAAAUCGCAGGGAAGCUGCAGAGUCCCGGAAGACCCCAAAAUCAUGGGAAAACUGCAGUCCCACGAAGAACCCAAAAUCACGGGGAAGCUGCAGAGUCCCAGAAGACCCCAAAACCGUGGGAAAGCUGCAGAGUCCCGGAAGACCCCAAAAUCGCGGGGAAGCUGCAGAGUCCCGGAAGACCCCAAAAC
rnacentral:lncRNA from 1 species